ensembl:lncRNA
GCGAUGUCAUUUACAAAAUAGCCUCCAACACUCUAAUCAGCAAAUUGGACGCAGUCUAUCACAGUGCCAUCUGUUUCGUCACCAAAGCCCUAUAUACCACCCACCACUGCAACCUGUAUGCUCUCGUUGGCUGGCCCUCGCUUCAUAUUUUUUGCCCAACCCACUGGCUCCAGGUCAUCUAUAAGUCUUUGCUAAGUAAAGCCCCGCCUUAUCUCAGUUCACUGGUCACCAUAGCAGCACUCACCCGUAGCACUCGCUCCUGCAGGUAUAUUUCACUGGUCACCCCCAAAACCAAUUCCUCAUUUGGCCGCGUUUCCUUACAGUUCUCUGCUGCCAAUGACUGGAACGAAUUGCAAAAAUCUUACUUCAUUUGCAAACACUGUAUAUAGACUUUUCUAUUGUGUUAUUGACUGUGCGUUUGUUUAUACCAUGUGUAACUCUGUUUUGUUGUUUGUGUCACACUGCUUUGCUUUAUCUUGGCCAGGUCGCAGUUGUAAAUGAGAGCUUGUUCUCAACUUGCUUACCUGGUUGAAUAAAGAGAGAACUUCAAAAUGAGAUCCUGCCAUGGAAAAGACGACGGACAUGAAGUGGAAAGGAGGGGAAAUAACUCACACCAUGCAGCAGGACACCUUCAGCUGUGUGGUUUUUGUAAUGCAGAUGGCCAAGGAAGUUGCACAGAACUUCCCCAACAUCCCCUCCCAAAUUGAUAUGGAACCUUCAAAAACACAUGGAGCAAGUGCGAAAAUAAAUGGCUGAGGAUAUACUAAAAAUGUCUGAGUUCAACAAAGCCAACAACUGCUUCAUGUGUGCCACUGAUAAAGAACCUGGAUGUAGCACAAAGACUGCCUGGAUUGAAUGUUUUGCAGGCCAAAGGUGGUUCCAUGUGCUGUAACUAGGAAUGAAGACAAAAUAGUUAAACAGAGCAAACAACACAAACUGGAAGUGCUGUCUUUGUUGUUGAAAAUGUAUGCUAUACCCCAUCCACACUGAAGAGGCUCUGACAUGUACAUCAACCAGGGAUAAAGAGAAAGUUAACACUGUGAAAUGUUUCAUACUUAUUUUUAAUUGUAUGUUGACACGUUGGAAAAGAUUAAAGGUGUACAAUUUCUGUUUAA